rnacentral:rRNA from 1 species
GAACGGUAGCACAGAGAGCUUGCUCUCGGGUGACGAGUGGCGGACGGGUGAGUAAUGUCUGGGAAACUGCCUGAUGGAGGGGGAUAACUACUGGAAACGGUAGCUAAUACCGCAUAACGUCGCAAGACCAAAGAGGGGGACCUUCGGGCCUCUUGCCAUCAGAUGUGCCCAGAUGGGAUUAGCUAGUAGGUGGGGUAACGGCUCACCUAGGCGACGAUCCCUAGCUGGUCUGAGAGGAUGACCAGCCACACUGGAACUGAGACACGGUCCAGACUCCUACGGGAGGCAGCAGUGGGGAAUAUUGCACAAUGGGCGCAAGCCUGAUGCAGCCAUGCCGCGUGUGUGAAGAAGGCCUUCGGGUUGUAAAGCACUUUCAGCGGGGAGGAAGGGAGUAAGGUUAAUAACCUUGUUCAUUGACGUUACCCGCAGAAGAAGCACCGGCUAACUCCGUGCCAGCAGCCGCGGUAAUACGGAGGGUGCAAGCGUUAAUCGGAAUUACUGGGCGUAAAGCGCACGCAGGCGGUCUGUCAAGUCGGAUGUGAAAUCCCCGGGCUCAACCUGGGAACUGCAUCCGAAACUGGCAGGCUUGAGUCUCGUAGAGGGAGGUAGAAUUCCAGGUGUAGCGGUGAAAUGCGUAGAGAUCUGGAGGAAUACCCGGUGGCGAAGGCGGCCUCCUGGACGAAGACUGAACGCUCAGGUGCGAAAGCGUGGGGGAGCAAACAGGAUUAGAUACCCUGGUAGUCCACGCCGUAAACGAUGUCUAUUUGGAGGUUGUGCCCUUGAGGCGUGGCUUCCGGAGCUAACGCGUUAAAUAGACCGCCUGGGGAGUACGGCCUACGGCAAGGUUAAAACUCAAAUGAAUUGACGGGGGCCCGCACAAGCGGUGGAGCAUGUGGUUUAAUUCGAUGCAACGCGAAGAACCUUACCUGGUCUUGACAUCCACAGAACUUAGCAGAGAUGCUUUGGUGCCUUCGGGAACUGUGAGACAGGUGCUGCAUGGCUGUCGUCAGCUCGUGUUGUGAAAUGUUGGGUUAAGUCCCGCAACGAGCGCAACCCUUAUCCUUUGUUGCCAGCGGUUAGGCCGGGAACUCAAAGGAGACUGCCAGUGAUAAACUGGAGGAAGGUGGGGAUGACGUCAAGUCAUCAUGGCCCUUACGACCAGGGCUACACACGUGCUACAAUGGCGCAUACAAAGAGAAGCGACCUCGCGAGAGUAAGCGGACCUCAUAAAGUGCGUCGUAGUCCGGAUUGGAGUCUGCAACUCGACUCCAUGAAGUCGGAAUCGCUAGUAAUCGUGGAUCAGAAUGCCACGGUGAAUACGUUCCCGGGCCUUGUACACACCGCCCAGUCACACCAUGGGAGUGGGUUGCAAAAGAAGUAGGUAGCUUAACCUUCGGGAGGGCGCUUACCAC